AGCAAAUGUCAAGAGGUUUGGGUCGAUUGAUCGGUGAUUGACGAUGUGUGGGUUGGAUGAGCAAAAGUGGUAGGCACGAUGUAGGAGCGAUUGUUUAAAGAUAUUAACUAUAUUAAACAAUCAAUUUGAGCGCUACGUCAGGCCAUAAUCGGUCAAGUACGAGUUUAAUCUGCUGGCAUUGGUUGGAGAAGGAUAAGCAGAUUUGAAGACUAAUCUUUUAGCAAUAUGAACAUCAAUUAAACGGUGUUUUCGCUCAACGGAACUUCAAUAUCCUCCCCAACAAU